GGAUAAUUUUUAACCAACAAUCACCAAUUUUCAUCUUUUUCUUCCUCUUUCGAUCUAUUUAGAUGGCUUUUUUUCCAUGUAGAUAUAGGUUUCUGUUUGGUGAAUUUGUCGUCCCAGAAUAACCUUGUUUUAUCUGUCGUUUUGGUGGUGGGGUUUAGCAUGGGAAUGGGGAGUUGUUUCCCACCAUAGGAAAGUUUUUUUGGACCAUUUGAUCAUGUAAAGAACAUAAUAUUAUCAUAGUCUCUCAAUACUAUAUUAUUUUACACUAUUCCAUCACCCUUGUCUCUCUUCCAUGUCCUCACUCACCCGCCAGCAACAUGAACUUCACCACCAGCACCGCCCUCCCAAACCUCACAACUUUAUCCCCCUUAUUACAUCCAUAAAUAUAUUAUUCAACUGAUUAAGAACCUUUAUAAAUCUUACAAUAAAACACUAAAAGCUAACAUUUAGUUCAAAAAAUUUUCGAUUUAAAGUUGUUCAUUAGAUCCUGUUGCAACAAAAAUAGCAAAUUUCAAUGUAAAAACAACAAUUACAAAUUACAAUCUCAAACUAAACUAAAGAGGAAUACUCAAUAACACAUCGGUGGUAUGUAAUUUGUAAAUAAA
rnacentral:lncRNA from 1 species